UACGUAGGGUCCGAGCGUUGUCCGGAUUUAUUGGGCGUAAAGAGCUCGUAGGCGGUUUCGUAAGUCAGAUGUGAAAACUCAGGGCUCAACCCGGAGACGCCAUCUGAUACUGCGGUGACUGGAGUCUGGUAGGGGAACACGGAAUUCCUGGUGUAGCGGUGAAAUGCGCAGAUAUCAGGAGGAACACCGAUGGCGAAGGCAGUGUUCUGGGCCAGUACUGACGCUGAGGAGCGAAAGCGUGGGGAGCAAACAGG
rnacentral:rRNA from 1 species